rnacentral:rRNA from 1 species
CCUACGGGAGGCAGCAGUGAGGAAUAUUGGUCAAUGGGCGCGAGCCUGAACCAGCCAAGCCGCGUGAAGGAUGACUGCCCUAGGGGUUUUAAACUCCUUUUUUAAAGAAGUAAAGAGAGGCACGUGUGCCUGUUUAUAUGUACUUUAUCAAUGAGGAUGGGCUCACUCCGCUACAGCAGCGGCGGUAAUACGGAGGAUCCGAGCGUUGUCCGGAUGUAGUGGGUGUAAAGGGAGCGUAGGUGGGUUGUUAAGUCAGUUGUGAAUGUUUGCGGCUCAACCGUAAAAUUGCAAUUGAUACUGGCAGUCUUGAGUGCAGUAGAGGCAGGCGGAAUUCCUGGUGUAGCGGUGAAAUGCUUAGAUAUAUGGAAGAACUCCAGUUGCGAAGGC